rnacentral:rRNA from 1 species
UACGUAGGGUGCAAGCGUUGUCCGGAAUUAUUGGGCGUAAAGAGUUCGUAGGCGGUUUGUCGCGUCCGUUGUGAAAGCUUGGGGCUCAACCCCAAGUCUGCAGUGGAUACGGGCAGACGUAGAGUCAGGUAGGGGAGAACGGAAUUCCCGGUGUAGCGGUGGAAAUGACGCAGAUAUCAGGAGGAACACCGAUUGCGAAGGCAGCUCGCUGGGACGUAACUGACGCUGAGACGCGAAAGCGUGGGGAGCAAACGGG